GGAGCCGCGUCCGGAACGCCCAGGGGAGGGGGGUGGGAUGUGCAGGUGUGAGCGCACCUGGCUGCCGCCGUGCCCCGGGGUACGCGCUCCCAGCGGUGGCAGGUGAGGAGAGGCAGACAGGCCGCAGGGACUUUGAACCUUGGGCACACAGGGGACGGUGGCAGCAAGGUUAAAACACAUCGCAGAGAGGCAGGAAGAGCCAGGCGACAAAGCGGAGCUGUCACCGGUAUCGCGAGGGACCUGUGCCAGCCCCUGUGUUCAUCAAUGACCUAGAAAAGGCGGGAGUGGUAACAUGAGAAAGCCCGCUCAGUGCAUUUCAGUGAGGCUUUGCUGGCUCCCAGCUCAGACCUGUGACACCACGAUCCGUAUAGGUGCUGCUGCACGGGGAUGCUACAGCCAAGGACGGAGUUAAGUGCUCCAGGAAAAGCUGGGGUCACCCGGAGUGUGGUUUAGGGACAGAGUGGAUGAGACAGGCAAGGGAUGCCCCUAGGCUUCUUACUCUGGUCCUCUGUGCCAGCCGGCAGAGCCAGGAUGGGUGCCAGGUGAGGAGUCCUAGCUGGUGCCUUGGCUUGGCCAUAGUGGUAGUUGCAGCAGGAGAGGGGGAUUGACAAAGCCAAGGGAUUCAGGGUGUGGAAAUCUCCACCUGCUUCUUUCAUUGAGGGUAGCAGUACUGGAGCCAAGCAUGGUUCUGGGGGGUUCUUGCUGGUCUGAUACUGGGGAGAGAGAAGGAUCAAAAAGCCAGGAAGUGGGAUGUUAGCUAUCUUGGGGUAGAAGGAGGAUGUUAAGCAGGGAAAAGACAGGCUGCAAAGAGAGGUAGGAAAGGAUGGAUGUGCCUGAUUUGGGACAGGUUAGUAAAAUAAAACAGAGCAGACCACCUGAGGACAUGGCUGUGGAGGAAAGAAAGAACCCGUGCAUGCAGUGCGGAGAGUGCUGCAGUACAAUAAUAUUUCCUUUUUCUUCCAGAUAACCAAAAUAAAUAAUCAGAAGAAAACAGGAGGCAGGAAAAACAACAUCAUUGAGAAGAGAGAGGACUUUGCUCAAUUUCACACCAGUUUCAGACAUCAUGCCGGCUCUGGUUCCAGUCCUCCCUGGCUGAUCUCGGCCACUUUUCUAUUACAUAUCAUUCAUUGCUCUCUAGAGGCACUGUGGGGAAGAAACCAUUUGAGGUAAAAUUAGGAAUUUAAGGCCACAAUAUCAGGAAC
rnacentral:lncRNA from 1 species